GGGUGGUGGUGCAUGGCCGUU
rnacentral:ncRNA from 3 species